rnacentral:rRNA from 1 species
AGAACGAACGCUGGCGGCAUGCCUAAUACAUGCAAGUCGAACGAACUCUUCGGAGUUAGUGGCGCACGGGUGCGUAACGCGUGGGAAUCCGCCCCUUGGUUCGGAAUAACAGUUGGAAACGACUGCUAAUACCGGAUGAUGACGAAAGUCCAAAGAUUUAUCGCCAAGGGAUGAGCCCGCGUAGGAUUAGCUAGUUGGUGAGGUAAAGGCUCACCAAGGCAACGAUCCUUAGCCGGUCUGAGAGGAUGAUCAGCCACACUGGGACUGAGACACGGCCCAGACUCCUACGGGAGGCAGCAGUAGGGAAUAUUGGACAAGUGGGGGCAACCCGUGAUCCAGCAAUGCCGCGUGAGUGAUGAAGGCCGUUAGGGUUGUAAAGCUCUUUACCGAGAUGAUAAUGACUAGUAGUCGGAAGAAUAAGCUCCGGCUAACCUCCGCGCCA